AGAAUCUCUGCUUGAAGGUGCCACUAAGAAUUUGACCUGCCACCCCGGAUACAGUCCUCGAGACAAAAAUAACGUUGUGAGCCAAUGUAAAAAUAGCCAAUGGACGAAAAUUACGGAGUGUGCUAUAGUGUGCCCUACUUUUGAGAACAUCAACAACGGGAAAGUUGAAGGAGACACUCUGUUCGAAGGUGCAACUAGAAAUUUGACUUGCAAUCCCGGAUACAGUCCCCGAGACAGCAAUGCUGUAUUGAGUCUUUGUCAAAAUGGCCAAUGGACAAAAAAAACGGAAUGUAUUAAAGACUGCCCUCCUUUUGAGAACAACAGCAAAGGGAACGUUACAGGAGACUCUCUGGUUGAAGGUGCAACUAGAAAUUUGACUUGCGACACCGGAUACAGUCCCCGAGACGGCAAUAUCGUAGUCAGCCGAUGUCAAAAUGGUCAUUGGACAAACAUAACGGAAUGUGUUUAAGUAUGUCCUCCGUUUGAGAACAACAGCAACGGAAAAGAUGAAGGAGACACUGUGUUUGAAGGUGCAACUAGAACUUUGACUUGCGAGCCAGGAUACGUCGUAGUCAGCCGAUGUCAAAAUGGUCAAUGGACGAACAUAACGGAAUGUGUUCAAGUGAAAGACUGCACCGAGCUACUAAACAGAGAUUCCACAAAGCUAAGCGGUGUGUACACCAUCAUCACCCCUGUCACUCACACCAAGGUACAGGUGUUCUGCGACAUGGAGAAGGAUGGGGGAGGCUGGACGGUCUUUCAAAAGCAGUUCAAUGGCAGUGAAGAUUUUAAUCGGAACUUUAGUGACUAUGAAAAGGGCUUCGGAACUGUUUACGCAGAACACUGGCUGGGUCUUAAAUACAUUUACGAGAUGACAACGCAUGGUUCUUACCAACUCCGUGUGGACAUUGUAAAUUCG